CCUACGGGAGGCAGCAGUGGGGAAUUUUGGACAAUGGGCGAAAGCCUGAUCCAGCCAUGCCGCGUGCAGGAUGAAGGCCUUCGGGUUGUAAACUGCUUUUGUACGGAACGAAAAGACUCUGGUUAAUACCUGGGGUCCAUGACGGUACCGUAAGAAUAAGCACCGGCUAACUACGUGCCAGCAGCCGCGGUAAUACGUAGGGUGCAAGCGUUAAUCGGAAUUACUGGGCGUAAAGCGUGCGCAGGCGGUUAUAUAAGACAGAUGUGAAAUCCCCGGGCUCAACCUGGGAACUGCAUUUGUGACUGUAUAGCUAGAGUACGGUAGAGGGGGAUGGAAUUCCGCGUGUAGCAGUGAAAUGCGUAGAUAUGCGGAGGAACACCGAUGGCGAAGGCAAUCCCCUGGACCUGUACUGACGCUCAUGCACGAAAGCGUGGGGAGCAAACAGGAUUAGAUACCCUGGUAGUCCACGCCCUAAACGAUGUCAACUGGUUGUUGGGUCUUCACUGACUCAGUAACGAAGCUAACGCGUGAAGUUGACCGCCUGGGGAGUACGGCCGCAAGGUUGAAACUUAAAUGAAUUGACGG
rnacentral:rRNA from 1 species